rnacentral:rRNA from 1 species
GACGAACGCUGGCGGCGUGCUUAACACAUGCAAGUCGAACGCUGAAGCCCUUUCGGGGGUGGAUGAGUGGCGAACGGGUGAGUAACACGUGGGUAAUCUGCCCUGUACUUCGGGAUAAGCCUUGGAAACGGGGUCUAAUACCGGAUAGGACCUGUCCUCGCAUGGGGGUGGGUGGAAAGUUCCGGCGGUAUGGGAUGAGCCCGCGGCCUAUCAGCUUGUUGGUGGGGUAGUGGCCUACCAAGGCGACGACGGGUAGCCGGCCUGAGGGGGUGGCCGGUCACACUGGGACUGAGACACGGCCCAGACUCCUACGGGAGGCAGCAGUGGGGAAUCUUGCGCAAUGGGCGAAAGCCUGACGCAGCAACGCCGCGUGGGGGAUGACGGCCUUCGGGUUGUAAACCUCUUUCGACAUCGACGAAGGGGCCCUGUUGUGGGGUUUUGACGGUAGGUGUAGAAGAAGCACCGGCUAACUACGUGCCAGCAGCCGCCGCCG